GUGGGGAAUAUUGCGCAAUGGGCGAAAGCCUGACGCAGCGACGCCGCGUGAGGGAUGAAGGUUUUCGGAUCGUAAACCUCUGUCAGAAGGGAAGAAACUACAUUGUGCUAAUCAGCAGUGUACUGACGGUACCUUCAAAGGAAGCACCGGCUAACUCCGUGCCAGCAGCCGCGGUAAUACGGAGGGUGCAAGCGUUAAUCGGAAUUACUGGGCGUAAAGCGCACGUAAGCUGUAGUGUAAGUCAGGGGUGAAAUCCCACGGCUCAACCGUGGAACUGCCUUUGAUACUGCACAACUUGAAUCCGGGAGAGGGUGGCGGAAUUCCAGGUGUAGGAGUGAAAUCCGUAGAUAUCUGGAGGAACAUCAGUGGCGAAGGCGGCCACCUGGACAGGUACUGACGCUGAGGCGCGAAAGCGUGGGGAGCAAACAGGAUUAGAAACCCGUGUAGUCC
rnacentral:rRNA from 1 species